UACAGAGGGUGCGAGCGUUAAUCGGAAUUACUGGGCGUAAAGCGUGCGUAGACGGUCAAGUAAGUCGGGUGUGAAAGCCCCGGGCUCAACCUGGGAAUUGCAUUCGAGACUGCGUGGCUAGGGUGCGGAAGAGGGAAGCGGAAUUUCCGGUGUAGCGGUGAAAUGCGUAGACAUCGGAAGGAACACCAGUGGCGAAAGCGGCUUCCUGGUCCAGCACCGACGUUCAGGCACGAAAGCGUGGGGAGCAAACAGG
rnacentral:rRNA from 1 species